rnacentral:rRNA from 1 species
UACGUAGGUGGCGAGCGUUGUCCGGAUUUACUGGGCGUAAAGAGCGCGCAGGCGGUCGUUCAAGUCGCGUGUGAAAGCCCCCGGCUCAACUGGGGAGGGUCACGCGAUACUGAUCGACUCGAAGGCAGGAGAGGGUAGUGGAAUUCCCGGUGUAGUGGUGAAAUGCGUAGAUAUCGGGAGGAACACCAGUGGCGAAGGCGACUUCCUGGCCUGUUCUUGACGCUGAGGCGCGUAAGCUAGGGUAGCAAACGGG